rnacentral:rRNA from 1 species
GGGGAAUAUUGCACAAUGGGCGGAAGCCUGAUGCAGCAACGCCGCGUGCGGGAUGACGGCCUUCGGGUUGUAAACCGCUUUCGCCUGUGACGAAGCGUGAGUGACGGUAAUGGGUAAAGAAGCACCGGCUAACUACGUGCCAGCAGCCGCGGUGAUACGUAGGGUGCGAGCGUUGUCCGGAUUUAUUGGGCGUAAAGGGCUCGUAGGUGGUUGAUCGCGUCGGAAGUGUAAUCUUGGGGCUUAACCCUGAGCGUGCUUUCGAUACGGGUUGACUUGAGGAAGGUAGGGGAGAAUGGAAUUCCUGGUGGAGCGGUGGAAUGCGCAGAUAUCAGGAGGAACACCAGUGGCGAAGGCGGUUCUCUGGGCCUUUCCUGACGCUGAGGAGCGAAAGCGUGGGGAGCGAACAGGCUUAGAUACCCUGGUAGUCCACGCUGUAAACGGUGGGUACUAGGUGUGGGGUCCAUUCCACGGGUUCCGCGCCGUAGCUAACGCUUUAAGUACCCCGCCUGGGGAGUACGGCCGCAAGGCUA